UCAGUCAGGUCUCCCUCCAUGUUUACCUAAGAGGAUAUUUACUGUGUUCUCCCCAGUCUGUACCAGCCAGUCAAUACCAGUCAGUCAGGUCUCCCUCCAUGUUUACCUAAGAGGAUAUUUACUGUGUUCUCCCCAGUCUGUACCAGCCAGUCAAUACCAGUCAGUCAGGUCUCCCUCCAUGUUUACCUAAGAGGAUAUUUACUGUGUUCUCCCUCGUCUGUACCAGCCAGUCAAUACCAGUCAGUCAGGUCUCCCUCCAUGUUUACCUAAGAGGAUAUUUACUGUGUUCUCCCCAGUCUGUACCAGCCAGUCAAUACCAGUCAGUCAGGUCUCCCUCCAUGUUUACCUAAGAGGAUAUUUACUGUGUUCUCCCCAGUCUGUACCAGCCAGUCAAUACCAGUCAGUCAGGUCUCCCUCCAUGUUUACCUAAGAGGAUAUUUACUGUGUUCUCCCUCGUCUGUACCAGCCAGUCAAUACCAGUCAGUCAGGUCUCCCUCCAUGUUUACCUAAGAGGAUAUUUACUGUGUUCUCCCCAGUCUGUACCAGCCACUCAAUACCAGUCAGUCAGGUCUCCCUCCAUGUUUACCUAAGAGGAUAUUUACUGUGUUCCCCCCAGUCUGUACCAGCCAGUCAAUACCAGUCAGUCAGGUCUCCCUCCAUGUUUACCUAAGAGGAUAUUUACUGUGUUCUCCCCAGUCUGUACCAGCCACUCAAUACCAGUCAGUCAGGUCUCCCUCCAUGUUUACCUAAGAGGAUAUUUACUGUGUUCUCCCCAGUCUGUACCAGCCAGUCAAUACCAGUCAGUCAGGUCUCCCUCCAUGUUUACCUAAGAGGAUAUUUACUGUGUUCUCCCCAGUCUGUACCAGCCAGUCAAUACCAGUCAGUCAGGUCUCCCUCCAUGUUUACCUAAGAGGAUAUUUACUGUGUUCUCCCUCGUCUGUACCAGCCAGUCAAUACCAGUCAGUCAGGUCUCCCUCCAUGUUUACCUAAGAGGAUAUUUACUGUGUUCUCCCCAGUCUGUACCAGCCAGUCAAUACCAGUCAGUCAGGUCUCCCUCCAUGUUUACCUAAGAGGAUAUUUACUGUGUUCUCCCCAGUCUGUACCAGCCAGUCAAUACCAGUCAGUCAGGUCUCCCUCCAUGUUUACCUAAGAGGAUAUUUACUGUGUUCUCCCUCGUCUGUACCAGCCAGUCAAUACCAGUCAGUCAGGUCUCCCUCCAUGUUUACCUAAGAGGAUAUUUACUGUGUUCUCCCCAGUCUGUACCAGCCAGUCAAUACCAGUCAGUCAGGUCUCCCUCCAUGUUUACCUAAGAGGAUAUUUACUGUGUUCUCCCUCGUCUGUACCAGCCAGUCAAUACCAGUCAGUCAGGUCUCCCUCCAUGUUUACCUAAGAGGAUAUUUACUGUGUUCUCCCCAGUCUGUACCAGCCAGUCAAUACCAGUCAGUCAGGUCUCCCUCCAUGUUUACCUAAGAGGAUAUUUCCUGUGUUUUGUUCUCCCCUCUGGUUUUUAUUCACAAAGCUAAUGGUCUGUAGUGUUUGCACGGCGUAUUUAUCUAAAUUCCUAUUAUGUAUUUCCACCCCCUUGGGCCCGAAGCGGGGAUUUUUCUCUCCACAAGGAUCAAAAUGCCAAUAAAAUUGUUCUAGCUAAUUUACUGCCGCUCACCCUGAACUUCCCAGGAUUGUUGUGCUGGUGUCCCCCAAAACUGUCCCCUUGCUGAAAAAGAUGUAAAUGGAGUUGUUUUGCGCCUCUUUCUCUACUCGCCCAGCCUAGGCUGCAUAGCCAACUAGGCUAGCCUCUGUAUGGUGAGGAGGCAUGCUGCGGGGAGUGGUUAGACAAGAAUGACGAACAGUGAUCACUAAGUCUGUGGCGAAGGACAUACUGCUCAACCCGGACCAGGCCCAAAACCCCGACACUCGAAAUAGGAAGAGUCGGCAUUAAAAGCCAGCGUGCGGGGAUACCUGACGAGACUACGAGGGAGAGUGGAUCAACCGCUUCUACCCUCCGUUCUAUUGGCGAACGUGCAAUCACUGGAGAAUAAACUGGACGAGCGCCGUUUGACACUAUCCUAUCAGCGAUGUCUGAAGAACCAGCUGUUCAUAUCAUAUCCUAUGUUUCUACGAGUCUUGUCUGAACAAGGACAUGGAAAAUAUAAAUCUAGCUGUUUUUUCUAUACAUAAGCAGAACAGAACGGCAGUGUCUUUAGUUAACAGCUGGUGCACAAUCUAUAUAUUAAGGAAAUCUCAAGGUUCUGCUCGCCUGAGUUAGAAUACCUCAUGAUAAGCUGCAGACUAUACUAUUUACCAAGAAUGUAUUUAUAUUUUUCGUAGCUGUCUACUUACCACCACAAACUGAUGCUGGCACUAAGACCACACUCAACGAGCUGUAUACGGCCAUAAGCUAGCAAGAAAAUGCACUCCUAGUGGCCGGUGAUUUUAAUGCAGGAAAAAUUAUUUCAUUUCUACCAAAAUAUCACCUGUGCAACCUGAGGCAAAACAAGAUAACUACAAUUCACCUUUACUCCACACAGACACUCAUACAAAGCUCUCCCUCGCCCUCCAUUUGGCAAAUCCGACCAUAACUCUAUCCUUCUGAUUCCUGCUUACAAGCAAAAACUCAAGCAGGAAGUACUAGUGACGCACUCAAUAUGGAAGGUCAGAUGAAGCUGACGCUAAGUUACAGGUCUGUUUUGCUAACACAGACUUGAAUAUCUUCCGGGAAUCAUCUGAUGGCAUCGAAGUUUAACAAAUCAGUCACCAGCUUCAUUAAUAAGCGCAUCGAUGACGUCGUCCCCACAGUGACCAUACGUACAUAUCCCAAUCAGAAGCCAUGGAUUACAGGCAACAUCAAAACUGAGCUAAAGGCGCGAGCUGCCACUUUCAAGGAGUAGGAAUACUGGUGUGCAAAAGAACCAAAAGGUAAAUAAAAACAACGUGGGGAUGAGGUAGGUAGGUUGGAUGGGCUAUUUACAGAUGGGCUAUGUACAGCUGCAGCGAUCGGUAAGCUGCUCAGAUAGCUUAAAGUUAGUGAAGGAGAUAUAAGUCUCCAACUUCAGCGAUGACCGGUGAGAUAUACCUGCUGGAGCGCUAAUCAAGACGCAGAAAUCCUGCUAUGCCGUCCGAUUAACCAUCAAACAGGCAAAGCUUCAAUACAGGAGUAAGAUCAAAUCCUACUGACGAGCAUCAGAGAUCAGAGAUCAAUGUGGUUGCAUGAAAUGAUAAUGUGCCCUAGUGGGCUGAACCGGCAUGGCGGCUUGUUAGACAAAGGGGAAAUGGGGGUCGACCUAAGAAGUCACGACAGAGUUAAUAAUUAUAACAAUUAAAAUGCUAAUCCUUUACACAUGAACGCUCACUCAUUCGGGAAAAAUUGCAAUCAAUCAAUAUAUUUACGCUCAGUGUGUCGUCUUGAUCGCUGGUGAAAAGUCUUUAUUUUGUAGAAUUGUCCGUCUCUCUCUCUCUGUCUUGGUUAGAGGGGAUAGUUCAAAGUGACAUUCGUUAUAGAAUGGAUGUUUCGGCGGUUGUCGUUUUUCACGUUCAAUGAUACUGAAUUCCUAGCUGCAGACUAGUAAUUAAUAUCAAAGACUUGUUCUUAUUCUGUCGAUAUCGAUAGUCUAAGAGUUUAACCAUGUGGUAUGGUUAAAAGAUUCAGCAAUGGUCUGCCACCUUUGUACUCCCGUGAUUGAGAAAAACAUGGUCUACUGAUAAUUUCUCAAAGUUGGGUUUUAUUCGGAAUGGCAGAGGAGGGCUGUCCCAGGAUGUCUGACCCUAACUGGGCUCAGGGGCGGUCCUCUGAUUUAGUUCAAAUCAAAAGGGAAUUGUAUUUUUCUUCAUUAAACAGUCCACAAUCAUAUUACCCAAUUAUACGAACAGUAUCAUACUCACUCAUUCAUCUUAUACAACAAUUAGAUGUCAAACUCAUAUCUGAGGCUAUUAUAUAAACAGCGUUAUGGUAAUGUGGCCACACCGUCUCUCUUGAGCUUCCCAAGUUGUGACAAAUGGACCAGUUCGUAGCUGGAUUCUUCUCCGAUCUUUUACACUUUCUCUGGAACAUGAAAUUUGUUCGUACCUCGAGUUCUGUGAGUUGGAAGCAAUUCCUUUAUGCUCCAUGGAAAAUGUUGAUCUCUAUACUGUGUGACCAUGAGGCAAGGUUUUCUUUAGGAAUUUACAACCUCACUCUGCCCACAGCAGUCUGGUUGUAGAAGCAGAGAGCGAGGGAUGGUGCUCGCUGUACUCAAAAGAGGGCAAUGUCAUGACACCGGUCACUUUGACCCUUCAUGUACAUGUUACCUCAACUACACUACCUUGUACCAUUGCACAUUGACUCGGUACUGGUACUCGUUGCGUAUAAAGCCUCGUUAUUGUUAUUUUAUUGUGUAACUAUUUAUACAUCUUUUAUUGUUACUUUUUACCUCUGCGUUGUUGGGAAAGGGCUUGUGAGGAAGCAUGUCACGGUAAAGUCCACACAUGUAUAAGCUUGCGACACAUGGGGAGAGGUUAGGGUGCGACUGUGCAGCCAGCUAUGUGACGCCACUCUGUUUACUGCAGAACGGUCUUGGAAAACUUUGUAUUAGAGCUACGUGACAUUUUUAUUUUCAUUUAACCAGGACAUCAAUUGUGAAUAUUGGCUGCAAAACCUGGCUGCAACCAACAGAAUCCAUAUCAUAGACAGUGUAUUAGUUGAGUUCCAUAGUACUGUCCACUGUACAACUCAUUAGUUGAGCUCCAUAGUACUGUACAACUCAUUAGUUGAGCUCCAUAGUACUGUCCACUGUACAACUCAUUAGUUGAGUUCCAUAGUACUGUCCACUGUACAACUCAUUAGUUGAGUUCCAUAGUACUGUCCACUGUACAACUCAUUAGUUGAGCUCCAUAGUACUGUCCACUGUACAACUCAUUAGUUGAGCUCCAUAGUACUGUCCACUGUACAACUCAUUAGUUGAGCUCCAUAGUACUGUCCACUGUACAACUCAUUAGUUGAGCUCCAUAGUACUGUCCACUGUACAACUCAUUAGUUGAGCUCCAUAGUACUGUCCACUGUACAACUCAUUAGUUGAGUUCCAUAGUACUGUCCACUGUACAACUCAUUAGUUGAGCUCCAUAGUACAACUCAUUAGUUGAGUUCCAUAGUACUGUCCACUGUACAACUCAUUAGUUGAGCUCCAUAGUACUGUCCACUGUACAACUCAUUAGUUGAGCUCCAUAGUACUGUCCACUGUACAACUCAUUAGUUGAGCUCCAUAGUACUGUCCACUGUACAACUCAUUAGUUGAGCUCCAUAGUACA